rnacentral:rRNA from 1 species
UACAGAGGGGGCAAGCGUUGUUCGGAAUUACUGGGCGUAAAGGGCGCGUAGGCGGCCUGCUAAGUCGAACGUGAAAUCCCCGGGCUUAACCCGGGAACUGCGUCCGAUACUGGUGGGCUUGAAUCCGGGAGAGGGAUGUGGAAUUCCAGGUGUAGCGGUGAAAUGCGUAGAUAUCUGGAGGAACACCGGUGGCGAAGGCGGAUCUCUGGGACGGUACUGACGCUGAGACGCGAAAGCGUGGGGAGCAAACAGGG